CAACUACUCCCUCUGUCCCAAAUUUCUUGUCUUAGAUUUUUCUAGAUACGGAUGUAUCUAAUACUAAAAUGUGACUUGAUACAUCCGUAUCUAGACAAAUCUAAGACAAGAAUUUUNAAAUCUAAGACAAGAAUUUUGGGACGGAGGGAGUACUUU
rfam:Triticum aestivum genome assembly, contig: Triticum_aestivum_CS42_TGACv1_scaffold_196650_3AL